GCUUUGUUGUUUUGUCUGUAGCUGCCCCCUGGGCUCAUAAGAGAGAUAAAGAAUCACCUUAAAAAUCUCUACCUUAAAUACGGAGAAAACUUUUACCAAGCCAUGAGUCUGCCUUUGCUUUCUCCUGAUCAACAGAAGUUACAGCCACUAGUACAUUUCACAGUGGCAUGCUGCAAAAUUUAUUGUUUGUUGCUUCUUCAGAACCCACCCAUUAAAGCUGUGUGGCCCACAGAGCAAGGAAUCCCCACAUACUACAUACAGCAUGUGGACAAUAAAGAUGUGGAGGACAAGAUGCCAUUGAACUUUCUAUGGCCAGUGCUCGCAUGUGGGAGGCAAGUACUUAGGAAAGGUGUAAUCUAUGGCUGAAUGGAAUGACUGGUUGAGUCAAAUUAUACCCCUGUGUUAUAAAAUAGUAAAAAAAAUAGUGAAUA